rnacentral:rRNA from 1 species
AACGUACCCUUGGGUGGGGGAUAACGUAGCGAAAGUUACGCUAAUACCGCAUACGAUCUACGGAUGAAAGUGGGGGCUCCGCAAGGACCUCAUGCUCAUGGAGCGGCCGAUAUCUGAUUAGCUAGUUGGUAGGGUAAAAGCCUACCAAGGCAUCGAUCAGUAGCUGGUCUGAGAGGACGACCAGCCACACUGGAACUGAGACACGGUCCAGACUCCUACGGGAGGCAGCAGUGGGGAAUUUUGGACAAUGGGCGAAAGCCUGAUCCAGCAAUGCCGCGUGAGU